CCUACGGGUGGCAGCAGUGGGGAAUAUUGGGCAAUGGGCGCAAGCCUGACCCAGCAACGCCGCGUGAAGGAAGAAGGCUUUCGGGUUGUAAACUUCUUUUCUGAGGGACGAAGAAAGUGACGGUACCUCAGGAAUAAGCCACGUCUAACUACGUGCCAGCAGCCGCUGUAAUACGUAGGUGGCAAUCGUUAUCCGGAUUUAUUGGGUGUAAAGGGCGUGUAGGCGGGAAAGCAAGUCAGAUGUGAAGACUCAGGGCUCAACCCUGAGCCUGCAUUUGAAACUGUUUUUCUUGAGUGCUGGAGAGGCAAGCGGAAUUCCGUGUGUAGCGGUGAAAUGCGUAGAUAUACGGAGGAACACCAGUUGCGAAGGCGGAUUGCUGG
rnacentral:rRNA from 1 species